UACAGAGGGUGCUAGCGUUGUUCGGAAUCAUUGGGCGUAAAGGGCGUGUAGGCGGUUUGUUAAGUCAUGUGUGAAAGCCCCGGCUCAACCGGGGAACGACGCAUGAAACUGGCAGCUAGAGUACCGAAGAGGGGGUGGAAUUCCCGGUGUAGCGGUGAAAUGCGUAGAUAUCGGGAAGGAACACCCUGUGGCGAAGGCGGCCCCUGGUCGGAUCUGACGCUGAGACGCGAAAGCGUGGGGAGCAAACAGG
rnacentral:rRNA from 1 species